rnacentral:rRNA from 1 species
AUACGGAGGGGGCUAGCGUUGUUCGGAAUUACUGGGCGUAAAGCGCGCGUAGGCGGAUCGUUAAGUCAGGGGUGAAAGCCCGGAGCUCAACUCCGGAACUGCCCUUGAUACUGGCGAUCUAGAGUCCGGGAGAGGUGAGCGGAAUUCCUAGUGUAGAGGUGAGAUUCGUAGAUAUUAGGAGGAACACCAGUGGCGAAGGCGGCUCACUGGCCCGGUACUGACGCUGAGGUGCGAAAGCGUGGGGAGCAAACAGGAUUAGAAACCCCAGUAGUCC